rnacentral:rRNA from 1 species
GGCUCAGGAUGAACGCUGGCGGCGUGCCUAAUACAUGCAAGUCGAGCGAACAGAUGAGAAGCUUGCUUCUCUGAUGUUAGCGGCGGACGGGUGAGUAACACGUGGGUAACCUACCUAUAAGACUGGGAUAACUCCGGGAAACCGGGGCUAAUACCGGAUAAUAUUUUGAACCGCAUGGUUCAAUAGUGAAAGACGGUUUCGGCUGUCACUUAUAGAUGGACCCGCGCCGUAUUAGCUAGUUGGUAAGGUAACGGCUUACCAAGUCGACGAUACGUAGCCGACCUGAGAGGGUGAUCGGCCACACUGGAACUGAGACACGGUCCAGACUCCUACGGGAGGCAGCAGUAGGGAAUCUUCCGCAAUGGGCGAAAGCCUGACGGAGCAACGCCGCGUGAGUGAUGAAGGUCUUCGGAUCGUAAAACUCUGUUGUUAGGGAAGAACAAAUUUGUUAGU